rnacentral:rRNA from 1 species
UUUUUUCUAGAUUAAUAGAAAAUAUAUCCUGCCCUAUGAGUAUUUAAAUGGCCGCGGAAAUUAACUGUGCAAAGGUAGCAUAAUAAUUAGUUUUUUAAUUGAAAAAUUGUAUGAAUGGGUGUUUAUAUUUGAUUUAAUAAGGUUAAUAAGAAUUGAAUUUGAAGUUAGAGUAAAAAUUCUUUAAAAAUUCUAAGGGGCGAUAAGACCCUAUAGAUCUUUAUUUUAUAUUGUUGUUUGUAGAGGAUUUGUAUAAUUUAAAAAUAAAAUUUUAUUGGGGUGAUAAAAGAAAUUAGUUAACUUCUUUAGUAUUAAAGGUCUUAAAUUUAGGAUUUAGAAAAAGAUACCUUAGGGAUAACAGCGUUAUUUUAUUUGAGAGAUCUUAUURAUAAUAAAGAUUACGACCUCGAUGUUGGAUUAAAA